GACGCUGGGCAGAGCUUCCAGGCAGCCUCUCCCUGUGGCAUGGCUCACAGUGGGGGGCAGGGGCAGGGGUACAGGUAGGAAUGAGCCAGGCAAAGGGAAGUGGAAAGCAUGUUCCAGGCAGAGGGAAGAGCCUGAGCAAAUGUCCAGAGAUAAAGAGAUGAGACACAUCUGAUAAGCUGAAAAAUACACACCUGAGUUCCUGAACUGACAAGGCUGAGGACCACAAUUUUAACCUGAGGGGACACAGCAUCUUCAGACCCUUCUGACACCCUUCUUCCUCAAGGGUCAGGAGAAGAGGGGGGUGCAGACCAGCCUUCAGAAGGUUCUUGACUACAACCUCCUGAAUCAAAACCAUGCAGAUCAGAACCAAGAAGCCAAGAUGAAAGAAAACCUUGCCUGUGAAGGCACCAAAUUAUCAGUUACCUGCUGGUCUCGACUCUCCUCCUCUGGCUUCCUUACUUCGAAGUUUAGGUCUGCAGUAAUUGCUUUAUACAGAAGAGCAAAAGAUGCUCCUUUAAAAUCUUAUUUCUUUGUUUUAAUCUUUUUGCCAGAGGCCCAAGCCUUUUUUCCCUCCUAACAAUACAACAUAACUGGACUCGUGCCAUGUUAUCUUCAAAACCACAGAGGGUUCAUAGCCAAUCUCUCCCCUCUCCAAUCAGAUAGGCUUCUGAAAUUAAAAACCUUAGCAAUAUCCUUGGCCCCAAACGUCACCUGGUCUUGGAAGAGAGGGAAGCAAAAACUUCUGACUUACGGCUCAUGAGAGAGUGUGGCUGGGGCCUGAGGAGCCUCCUGGUUAGGCUGGUGAUGGGGGACAGAGGAUUGUGCUGUGACCCAUCCCACAGGGUGCCAAAAAUAGGCAGGUAACUCAGGGAUGUAAGGGAUGAGAGGCCAACAGACCACCCCUCACCCAGUUACUUGCACGAAGCCUCGCCUCCCCAUGCACCUCUUAUGAGGUCAGAAAUUCAUUUACCAAUGCAGAUUUAGUGGUUUACAUUAUGUGGAUGGGCUGAACAUAACCAAAUAUCCAGGAAGUGUCAGAGUAAGACAGCCUAUGAAAGGGCUUCGCUGGACCUUAAAACAGUACUUCUCAAACUUUCCUGUGCAUACAAGUCACUUGUGCAUAUCAUUAGACUGCACACUGUGACUUAGUGGGCCUGGGUGGGGCCAAGACUCUGCAUUUCUGACAAGCUCUCGCAGACGAUCCUCAUGCCGCUGAUCUGCAAACUACAUUUUGAGCAGCACAUCUUGAAAUGAGACCUCACUCUUGGAAAGGAUCCCAGAGAGACAGCUUACCAUUUUGUGACGAGCCUGAUACUAAUGGGGAAAGAAUGAAGAAUGCGAAUGUAUAAAAUGGAGUCACUUUAACCAAGCUGCUAAAAUUAUUAACAUUAUGAAUGUUGAGGCAUGAGGAAAGACUUCAUUCUCAUUCUAAAUAGCUUGGGAACUUAAACUUUUUGAUCUUUCCAGUCCUGUGUCAAUGCAGGAUAUGCAUGUGGACAUACACCAGACCUCUUAUAACCCUCUAUUACUCUCCGAAGGAAUCACAUAACCAGACUGCCUGACAUCCAUCUGACAUCUGACUGAUAACCAUUAGUCCUACGGCUACGAAUGCAGGACUGAUUAUUCUCAAAAAUGCACUUUUUACUAUAAGAACUCUUACUUUUCCUUCUUCUUCAGAACACUUCUGGGUGUUUGCCUAAGUGUGUUCCUAGUUUGCAAACUCUAAGACCCUUGAAUAAAUCUUUAUCAUUUAUUUCUA